CAACAAAUUAAUUAUACUUAUCCAUUAUUGAAUUUAUAUAUGUAUAUUUAUGUGCGUGAAUUACUAUAUCGCGAAUCUUUACAAAUUCAUAUUAAAAUUCGUCUCCUAACCUAUAUUUCUUUAUCAUAACCACUUAUAUAUUCAUGGCAUUCAUUAACUUCAAUCUAUCCUGCUUUUAUUUAAUUAUAAUUUAUCCAUUUCUAUCUCGUUGUUUAUCCGUAUAUUAGAUGUAUAAAUUAUAAAUACAAAUUCAUUCCCUUUUUCUACGAUCUUAUGACUACCGAAUUCCAAUUACUUUACCGUUUGUGGCGCCAUCUGAAAUUCUUUUGUUUUUAAGAAGAGUCGCUACGAGCGCUCUAAGAGUUUCCAGUCCUGCGACGAUUUUGAGCAAUAUGGCGUGCGAGAAGUAUCGUUUGUGUCGCUGCUUAUUUUUUGCAUUCCAGCUUAGGAAUCGGUUGUCAAAGUUAUUGAAAUAAUUUGUGCGAAUUAUCUUACGGAAUGUGCGAAAAGUGGUACCAAAGAUUUAAAGCUGGAAAUUUUAAUUUGAAGAAGACGAUCGUUCAAGUGCAUCGAGAAAGUUCGAUGACUGUGGAAAAUCCGACCUAGAAGAAUUGGCAGAAAGAUUGGGAUUUACGUAAUAAAAUUUUGAAUUUGAUCAAAAAAGGGAGAAAAAAUUUAUUUGAACACCUAAUAUUCCUAUUUUUCCUUCGUUAAACGUAUUCUCUCUGCCCGGUUAUUUUUUGAUAAAAAUAUAUAUUCGAAUAUCAAACUGUUGAGUGAAAAGUUUUACUUCAUUUCUCUUCUAUGCGAGAAUUGCAAAUUCCUACGAAUUUGAUCCCAAGCUUUUUUCAAUGAGAUCUCCCGUAAUCGACGGUAACGCGCAUAAGGCUAAUAAUAAUCGAGUGGAAGGAAGCGAGGCGAGGUUGCCAAUUAUCUUCGCCGUUCAUCUUUGUGGAUGUUAAUCCUUGGCGGUGGAAAGAGGGGGGGCGGUUUGGAUCGAAUGAAACGCAGCAGGAGCUGGUAGACGUUUCCUCCCCGCAGCCAUCAAAGGCGCGACGGGGAAGGAGGUGGUAGUGGGGGAGAUGUAAAUGGCGCGCUUCAUUAACGUGAGUUACCGUCACAUCCAUUAUUCCCGGUAACCGAGCUGACAACCGCGAUUCCGGCUUGUCCAGGGUAUUACGUACCUCCGCGCUCCUUCUCCAAAAUUCGAGCAAGCUCGAUACUCGGAAAACGUGCUCCCCCACCUCUCUAGUGUUUUAAUAAAAGGAGGGGGGAACGAUUUUUCCAACGAUCGCCAUCUUAAGAUAAAAUUUUAUCGCUUUUGCGUAUUUCCAGUCCAGUCGUUUCUUGAAUUUAAAAGAUGGAAAGAUGGAAAGAGAGAUGGCGUCUACGUUAUUAACCGUUAGUACGAGCGACAGUCGCUCUCCGUAAAAUACCACUGACGCAUUACGGGCGAUUAAAGUCGGUCUACGUAAGAUAUCGCGUAUAUUGUACGACGAGCGAUUGGAAUUAUUGAGCAUCGAGUAUCUUUGUCUGAAAAUGUAGCAUCGGUAUUAUUGUUUUUAUCAUUUGUUUCUCACGCAAUGUCAUAUUAUUAUAUUCUGUAACGUUAUUCGAGUUCCAAAGUAAUUAAAUGUGAAUGUGUUUAGAAGUUAUAAAUAUCCCGUUUUGAGGAAAGUUUUUUUUUCAUAAACACCGUCAAAGCACCGAGGGUUGCAGUGAGGCGUAAACGCGACAGCUGACGAUCUUUCUCGAGUAUUUAUGUACAUUUUUGGCGCGACGGAGAAAUCGCCCGUAGCGAAAGGUUUCUUGAAUUUUUUCUUUUCAAAGCGUCGAUCGUUUUUAUUCAAUUUUAAUUCCAAGUAAAAUUUCGGUCGAGUUAGUAAUUUAGUUUAGUUUACAUCAAUUUUAAUUUUACAUAUAACGAUGAACUAAUAAAUAUUAAAUUUGACCUAAUUAAUAAAGCUUACUAUUAAUAAUUUUAUCAACAUGACUCGAUCAAACGAUCGAUCGAAUCGGCUAGUUAAUUAGUUUGAUUGGAUUUGAUUACAAAUAUCGAAAUUGUUAAAAAUAUCGAUUAAAUCGAGUGAAAUUAAAUAAGAAAGAUAAUUUUGUUUCGCUUCGUAAAUUGUUCUACACCACGCAAAGUGCAAAGUGCAAAUUCGGGCACGAUUAAUAAUUCUGCGCUUAAUCCUACUUUCUAAUCCACGUUGGUCCGUCGAAAAUACGUGUCGUCUCCAAAGCGAACACACGUCUACCAAUAACGUUCCUGGAAGAAAGGUCGAAAUGAAAUCGACUCUAACUAUUUUAGUCUUUCUUUUCAUCUUAACGAGAUUUCGUUUUAUUUACAUCGCAAUAUAGCUUGUAAGAUCUUGCACUCGAACAGAUGCGAUCUUCCGAUCCUUUUUGAAUCAAACCUUGCAGCCUUGCUUGUUUUCGGGAAAAAAAAAAUCAAUCCUCGCGUAUUACAGAAAAUGGAAAAAUUUUAUCUCUCGACCAUGCGAAUCUUUUUCACGCGACUCUCUCCGGGCUCGAAUAACGCGUUCGAACCCCCAAAUUUUUAUCCAUCGUUUCUCCGUCGUUUUGCACCUUUCGGUUUCACUUUGAAUCGCGAAAAAUUAUGCGAGGAUUGUUGGGGUUCGAAAAGACGGACAGCCAGGCAUUCGUUCGUUCGUCACUCUGGAAUCCGGAAAUUGUUAAGCACGAUAUUCGACGGAUAUUAAUUGGAGUUGGAAUUAAUUCCCUCUCCCCUCCCCUCCCCUCCUCUCCCCCCUAUAUCCGUGCUAUUACGAACCACCUGAAAACUUGAUUAGUAUUCCCGAGAGCUGCGCCAACACGCUGACACGGUGAAUUUCUGCGAAUAGUUGAGGAUCGAAGCAGAUAUAGGAAACUUGGUCGCCGUCUACCAACCUCUAUUCUCGCCAAUUAGAUCCCGCCCCCCCCCCCCUCCCUUCCCCCCUCCCCCGAUCUCGUUUGUCGCGCGCCUCGAGAACGAGUGGAACGUUUCCCAGCGUUGUUUUGUCUACGCCAUUUUUGAUCGUCGCGCGGUUUCGAGUCGCGCACAUUUUUAGGACGAGUGCACACAGAUGAGACGAUAUUUAGAUAACGAGGCGAGUUAUGUAUACCUUUGGAACGAGAGGAAUGAUCUCGAAACUUGUUUUCUCUACGUCCUUUUGAUCGCCCACUCGCUGCGCAGAGAUGAAUACGAAUGAUUUAAGGCGAGUCCAUGGAUGAAUUAGGAUCGCCUUCUAUCAACAUUUGUGCACGCUUUCAAUACGAACGAUCUCCAUCGAAACUUAUUUAUCCAUCCUCUUGAUGUUCAUCGCCCGCUCAGAGAUAAAACGCUAUUUAAGGUGCGAGUUGUUUCUUUGUGGCGCUGAGUUUUUUUUGGGGAAAAGAACAGAGUCGAUUAGAGAUGAAAGAUUUGAACAUAUUUGAAAUAGAGGAAAGAAUAGAGCAAAGAAUAGAGAAAAUUUUAUUAUAAUUUUUUUUUGUUUUUUAUUUCUUUCUGGUGUAUUAUUUUUUUUAAAACAGAAACAGAUUAGGCAAGGGUGAGAGGUGAUCUGGACAUAUUUGAAAUGGAGAAAAUUUCCAUUUUAAUUUUUUAAAUUUAACAGCCAGAACGGUUAAUCGAUUAAAUAUUUCGUGCUUAUUUUUUCUCUUUCUUUUUGGAGAAGAUGAUCUGAACAUUCAUCGAACGGAGAGAAAGCAAAUAUUUUCAAUAAUUCGUCACGAAAUUCAAUUCACUUAUGCAAUUACGAUUGUCAUGCGAGCGAAAGAAACGAAUAUUUUUAAUUCAACGUUCGGCUAAGGAGAAGCUAGAUUGACGAAACGAAACGAAUAAAAUUGGAAAGGGAUCGCGUAAUCCGCGCAUCCGUUUCCUUUAUUUCCAGUUGCUCGUAUCACUCACUCGACCAGAGAUUAUCUCGUCCUUCUUUAUCGCCGGGUUCUCAUUUAUCAAUCCUUUUACUUUAAUCGUUCGUAACCAAUGUAACCAAGUUCCUCGAUCGUGAUUUAUAAGGUAACUCUUUCCAAAUAAGUAACCCAUUGCGUUUCCUUUCUAAAUGCACUUUCCAUUCCCACUCCGUUGACCACGUACGCGUUCGACAGAAACGCGGUGUAUGUAAAUUUUCACGCAAAUCCAAUUGCUUUAUUCUUUUUUUCCAAACGAUUUUUUUAUCCCGGAAAAAUAGAUUUUAAUUCGAACGGAUUAAAAUUAAUCAAAAUCGAUUUAGAAAUUUAAUAACGUGAUAUAUAUUUCAUCUUACACACUCGUCCAUGAAACGAAUACUUUCGAAUCGAUCUCUGAACUUGCGGGUCGUUUUCUUCGAUCGAUGUUGGCGCGAAGAAAAGAAGAGAAAAGGAAAAAAAAGAAACGAAACGACAGAGGUAUAAAAUGGUCGGACGAGGAGUAAGUUUAAUGGGUCUAUCGUCGUUUCUUGUUUUUCUUGGGACAACGGUGCCAACAUCCGUCGAAAAAACGGCGCGAUACGAUCGAUACCCAUAUCCUCCCCUAAAUGUUAAUGAAUCGCGAUCGUUCUCACUCCUCCUCGUGUUUCUUUCCAUAAAUAAUGUAAUCGUUUCGAUCUCUUUUUUAUCUUUCGAUCUUGAAAUGGACGCUGCAGCCGCUCGAUUUCGAUGAUUUUGUGAACGAUUCUCAUUCGAUUAUCCGACGUUCAGUUUAUUUAUUCGGUAAUGAAUCGUGAUCAGAUCGUUCUCGUUUCUCGAUUUUCUUCCUCAUAUUUCCGUGAAUAAUAUAAUCGUUUCGAUUUUCUUUUUUUACCUUCGUCCAUUUCGAAACCGUUGCAACCGCUCGAUUUCAAUGAUUCAAUUUAUUUAAAUUCUGUUCACCUUCAGUUCCAGAAAUAUCAUCGAUAUAAAAAUAAUCGUGAUCGUUCUCACUUCUCGAUCCUUCUCCUCAUUUUUUUUUCAUAAAUAAUAUAAUUUAAUGUUAUUAAAUUAUGAUUUAACAUUAUAAUUUCGACCUUGAAACCGUUGCAAUCGCUCGAUUUCAAUGAAUUUUGUAAACGAUUCUCAUUAUCCGACGCUCAAUUAAUUUAAUUUCUGUUCAAUUUCAGAAAUAUUCGAAAUAUCGAUGGAUAUAAUAGUAUGAUUCGAGAUUUGCAUAUAAUAAUACAACAAUAUAAUACAACUUUUGUAAAUACAAAUAGUUUGUAUUUGAGAUUUUUUAAGCGACUUACACUUAACGUAGUGGACAAAAAUUCUUGUUUCACUUCGUUUCAAUCGAGUAAAAAUUCGUGGAAAUCUAUCGCAGAAGGAAACACUUUUUAACUAAAAGUUAAGUUAAGAAUGGAAAAUCAUCGAUCUCUGCUCCUUGGAAAUUAAUUAAUUAAUAAUAUGGAGAAUUUCUCUCUCUCUCUCUCUCUCUCGAUUAAUUCGAGACACAAGUUCGCUUAUGCGAUAAACGUCUUUUCAAAAUGUGUUCCUUAAAAGUUGUUGGUCAGGUAAAUUUUUAUUUUUUUCGUUUUCUCUGACGGAGUCGUCCAAAUAUUAUAUUUAAAAGAAAUUUCAUCGUUUAUUUUGCGUAAUGUUUCUCGAAAAAUUUCGGGAAAAUGGAAGAAUAAAGGAAGAAUAAUGACGAAUGAUAAUAAUAUUCACUCUGUCUCUAUCUCUCUCUUUCGUUUGUUGCGAAAAGUUUUUCGCAAAGCCGCGAUUUACCAUGGAAACUGGCGGAAUUUUCAUGGCGCGAUUUGAAAGUCAACGCGCGGGAUCUUUUAAAACGGGUCAGAAACGCGCACAAUGGUGUUGAAAAUUUUUCAAAUUCAUUAAGAAAACAAUUGUUUCGAUGUAAAAGUGCAAAAAUAUAUCGAAACUCUUAUUUAAUUUAAAUUUUAAAAACAGAACUGAUCGGUCACGCAGAUUUCGAAUAGUUGAGAAAUGUUCCAUAA